CCUACGGGAGGCAGCAGUGAGGAAUAUUGGACAAUGGGCGCAAGCCUGAUCCAGCCAUGCCGCGUGCAGGAAGACGGUCCUAUGGAUUGUAAACUGCUUUUGUACAGGAAGAAACACUCCCUCGUGAGGGAGCUUGACGGUACUGUAAGAAUAAGGAUCGGCUAACUCCGUGCCAGCAGCCGCGGUAAUACGGAGGAUCCAAGCGUUAUCCGGAAUCAUUGGGUUUAAAGGGUCCGUAGGCGGUUUAAUAAGUCAGUGGUGAAAUCUGGUCGCUCAACGAUCAAACGGCCAUUGAUACUGUUAGACUUGAAUUAUUAGGAAGUAACUAGAAUAUGUAGUGUAGCGGUGAAAUGCUUAGAUAUUACAUGGAAUACCAAUUGCGAAGGCAGGUUACUACUAAUGGAUUGACGCUGAUGGACGAAAGCGUGGGGAGCGAACAGGAUUAGAUACCCUGGUAGUCCACGCCGUAAACGAUGGAUACUAGCUGUUGGGCGCAAGUUCAGUGGCUAAGCGAAAGUGAUAAGUAUCCACCUGGGGAGUAACGUUCGCAAGAAUGAAACUUCAAAGGAAUUGACGGCUUGAGACGNGCGAGACGACGACGAGGGAGGAGG
rnacentral:rRNA from 1 species